rnacentral:rRNA from 1 species
UACGUAGGGAGCAAGCGUUGUCCGGAAUCAUUGGGCGUAAAGCGCGCGUAGGUGGCCAUGUAAGUCCGCUGUGAAAGUCAAAGGCUCAACCUUUUGAAAGCCGGUGGAUACUGCAUGGCUAGAGUACGGAAGAGGCGAGUGGAAUUCCUGGUGUAGCGGGUGGAAUGCGCAGAUAUCAGGAGGAACACCAUAGCGAAGGCAGCUCGCUGGGACGUUACUGACACUAAGGCGCGAAAGCGUGGGGAGCGAACAGG